AGCGAACGCUGGCGGCAGGCCUAACACAUGCAAGUCGAACGAACCUUUCGGGGUUGGUGGCGGACGGGUGAGUAACCCGUGGGAACGUGCCUUUAGGUUCGGCAUAACUCAGGGAAACUUGUGCUAAUACCGAAUGUGCCCUUCGGGGGAAAGAUUUAUCGCCUUUAGAGCGGCCCGCGUCUGAUUAGCUAGUUGGUUGAGGUAAUGGCUCACCAAGGCGACGAUCAGUAGCUGGUCUGAGAGGAUGAUCAGCCACAUUGGGACUGAGACACGGCCCAAACUCCGACGGGAGGCAGCAGUGGGGAAUCUUGCGCAAUGGGCGAAAGCCUGACGCAGCCAUGCCGCGUGAAUGAUGAAGGUCUUAGGAUUGUAAAAUUCUUUCACCGGGGACGAUAAUGACGGUACCCGGAGAAGAAGCCCCGGCUAACUUCGUG
rnacentral:rRNA from 1 species